AGCGAAAUCAGAACAGUUAUUUACAAACAUUAUGUAAAGUUAUUCAGUCUACCAGUUAUAAAAGCUCAGUUUUAUUAAAUCUUACAAAAUAGAAAGGAUCCAGUAAUGUGCAUAGGUAAUGCAUAGUGCAAAUAGAAGUGGAAGUAUACAGUAGUAGAGACAAAUCAUAAAUGAAGGAUAUGACAUUUAAAAACACCACUUUCAUAGAACACUCCAAGCACCAUAACUACUGCAGCACACUGUAAGGUUUAUGGUUCCAGGAGUGCCUUGGUGCCCAAUGUAAGGAGCUUCUGUUAACUCUCCUGAGCUAAAGCCCUGCAAUGCAGGAUAAACACAUUCAUUGGAUAUCAUCGGCUGAUCACUCUCAGCCAGUAAACUAAACUCUGCACUCUCUGGCUCAGCUCAGACAGAAACAUUCAGGCUCGGAGCGGUGCCAAGAAUACCCAUAAAAUGAACUCAGCCUCAGCAAUCCUGAAUUCAGCAGGUUAUAUGCACAGUUUUACACAAUAUUAUUUUAUAUUGUUACCAUUUUAUGACUUGCCUUUAACAGUAUUGCAAGAUUCCUAAUGUAAAACAAGCAUUAAAAAAAACCUAUAAUUUUAUUAAAGGACCACUCUAGGCACCCAGACCACUUCAGCUUAAUGAAGUGGUCUUGGUGCCAGGUCCUUCUAGGGUUCACCCAUUUUUUUUAAUAAACAUAGCAGUUUAUCAAUGGGUUAAGCCUUCCUCCAAAUCCUCUAGUGGCUGUCUCGUUGACAGCCGCUAGAGGCGCUUGCGUGCUUCUCACUGUGAAAAUCACAGUGAGAGCAUGCAAGCGUCCAUAGGAAAGCAUUAUGAAUUAGCUCUUGCAGUGCGUGCGCAUUCAGCCGACGGGGCGGAUCAGAGGAGGAGAGGAGGCUGAACCCCGCCCAGCACUGGAAAAAGGUAAGUUUUUACCCCUUUCCCCCUUCCAGAGCCGGGCGGGAGGGGGACCCUGAGGGUGGGGGCACCCUCAGGGCACUAUAGUGUCAGGAAAACGAGUGUUUUCCUGGCACUAUAGUGGUCCUUUAAAACUAUAUUGUAUUUUUUAAUUGUAUAUACUUGUAUUUCUUAUGUAAUCAAAAUGUAGUGAAUAGAUAAAUGUAUUUAUGAGUUUAAAGGAUUACUCCAAGUACCAUGAUUAUGUUACUGUAAUUAAGUCAUGAUGCUUGCAUUCAGUAUGUGCAAUGUUUCAUUUUGAAACAGCAAAAAGGAUCUUGAACUCUACAGACCUUCUAAUGCCAAACAUUCCACAUACACCACAGCCAACUAAAAGUGUUUACAUUAAACAGCAAAUAAUAUGGUGGUGUGUCCACAGUAAAUAUUAAACUCUGUCACUUUAAAUUACUUCUAUAUUUUAAACAUUAAACCCUUUUAGGACGGAAGCAAUUGUACAAGUUCUGAUCAAAACAAAAUCAAACAAAACCUGUGAUUUGACUAUAUGUCUGUUCAACCAUAAUUUACCUCUUUCAUAUUAAGUGCACCCACCCUUAUUAUAUAUCAUAUGCUUAAGAGAAACAGGGAUUUUAUGUCACAUCAAAAAUGUAUAAAUGAAACCUAAUUUAAUUUAUUUCUGCAUGACAUUUUAACCCUGAAUAUCAUAAUAAUGUUUGCUUUUACUUCAAUAAAAUGCACAUAUUUGUAUUCAGCAAUGUCUUAAGAGUACAACAGUACCUCGAUGUACAUGUUUUAUGGGGUUUUAGAAACUUACAGGAUCAAAUAUAGGGCUUUCCGCUUUUACAUUUUUGCACUUUGAAAUUUGUCAGCUUUGUAUGUUGCCUUUGAGACUGUAUGGCAGCCCAGAAAUUAAAAUUAACCCCAUCAUGGCAUACCAUUUGAAAAAGUAGAUAACCCAGGGUAUUCAAAAUGGGAUAUGUCUAGUCUUUUUUAGUAGCCACUUAGUCUCAAAUCCAGGCCAAAGUUAGCAUUUUUUUGUUGUUGCAUUUUUCACAAAAAAGCUGCCUUUUCACCAAUGAUAUUAUCAGCAUUAUACAUUUUACUGUUCCAAAACGCUCAUAUUUGUGUUCAGCGAUGUCUCACAUGUACAACAGAACCCCCAUGUCCAGGUUUUAUGGUGUUUUGAGACCAUAUGGCAGCCCAAGAAUAAGAAUGAAUCUAUCAUGGCAUUCAAAUAGGAAAUAUAGACAAUGCAAGAUAUUCAAAACGGGGUAAAUCCAAUACAAAUCCAAUACAAAUACAAUGUGUAUGUACAAAAAAAUAAAAAUUAAUACCACAAAAUUUGAAAAAAAUGGUGGUAUAAAUAGCAAUUCAAUAAAGCUCAAAAUAUGUCAUGUGAUAAUUACCAUGGUGUCCACUUUUGCAAAUGGUGUGCAUUUAUGGAGUAUUUGAAAUAUGUGAGAUACUAAAAUUCACCAAAAUGCACCAUAAGCCCAUCUUUAAUUUGCCAUUUAAAAAACAGAAAUUGCAAUGGGUUGGUUAUAAAUCCAGCUCUGUUUUCUCACAAAACUUGACAUGGGGUCUUUCUUUUUCAGGAGACAUAGUUGAACUAAAUUUAGGGAUUUUUAUUGCAGCAGAACUUAUCAAAUUUAGAAAAUCUACAAAAAUGUUUGCAUGCACAUGGCAGUGUGCCAUGUGCAUGUAAACAUUUUUGAAAAUAAAAUACUAUAAAUUUUGAAAGAUAUUGGUGCUACAAUAACUGUAUAGUAAGGUUUAAAAUAUACUAUAUCACAUACCUUGUGAUGUCUACUUUCACAAAUGGUAUGCGGUAUGGGGUAAUUUCAACUGCCAUACUGUUACAAUGCUCCAAAAUGCAUAAUAGGCCCAUCAAUUUCAUUUAUCGAAAUUUUAAUUGUAAAAACUGAAAUAGUCAUGUGUCUUGCAUGGCACUGUAACUUCAUAGGGUAUUGGCAAAAGCACAUAUUGAGAGUAUUGUAGCUGUACACAUUAUGGGGUUUUGCACAGUAGUAGUACACAUCAGGUUUACGAAAUACACAUUUAAAAAAAAAAAAUCUUGUUCUAUGUGUAUAUGUUAAAAAAUCAAAACACAAUUUUACUCCAAUAUUUAGAGAUUGGCAGUUAAAUGGCUACAUAGUAAGAGUUAAACAUCCUUAGAUAAAUAGCCUGUGAUGUCUACUUUAUAUAAAUAUAUACUCAGGGCCAGCGCUACCUGUUAGGCAGACUAGGCAGUCUCUAGAGAGUCUCAGGUGGCUGCAGCUUUGCCCUGGCGGUGCGUCCAUGAGGGCGGACCGCAGCGCCCGGGCGCAGCCUGAGGAGAGGGGCUGACAGGAGGGAGCGCUCAGCACUCCCUCCUGUCACUCCCUCCCUGUAGCGUGGCUGAGCCCUGUAUCAUGAUGGUCUGCGAGUACAGGGAGCAUCUGUCUCCUGUACCCGGCCGGACUAACAGGAAGUACACACAGAGUGUGCACUUCGUG